UUCUCAAGACCCUCUGGUAUUGAGCUGUAGGGUGUGUGGAAUGGGGUAUCUCUAGCCCUCUAACUGGACUUCUUCAGCAUUUUAGAAGCACACUCUUAAGUUCAGAAGCAUCUGGAAGCCUGACUGCUGCUCUUCCCUCGAGCAAGCAUCCUAACAUGCCCUCUGCAUGCUUUCCCUUUUGGUCUCUACUGCUUGCAUGUUGCAAAGGAGCCACUGGGUAAGGGAAGCCUGGGGACGUGAGGGAAGUGAACAACCUUUUGACUGAUCUGCGUCUGUUUGAGAAAUGCUGCUUGAAUCUCACCAGUGACUGAUCAGUUAUUAAAACCAGGCCAGAACAAGGCAGUAUUUCUGUGCUGAAAAUGACACUGGAGACAGCUUGGCCUGUGCCAGCCAGCCAGGACUUGGAAGAAUAUGCUCAGGCUGUGAGUUUCAAACCUGGCUCUCACAGAAGAGUUGUCAUGCCACUGGCAGCGGAGUGCACUGGUGUAAGGGUGGCUGUAUCUCAGGCUGCAGCAGAAAGUGGGCACAGGGGUGAGCUGUGGCUGAUGUCUCAGCCCAGUCUUGGAGCCACCUGCCUCUCUCCCUGCUGUCUCUGAAUAUUGUUUCUUGAGUCUUUUUUCUCUGGAUCUCAGUGAGGAUCAGACAGGCCAAGGCUGACCAGGACUGAACUAGAUCUUUUCCACCUCUCACCCCAGUGAUUCUUUCUGUUUUAAAAUGAACACAAGAACCACCAGUACUACAGCUGCAAGUUCAGUGGUGAGAACAUAAACAAGGACAGGUAAUUCUCAGU